UAUAUCGCAAGCGAGGAUAAUUUAGCGGACAUAUUCACAAAACCGGUAAGUAAAGUUAGGAUGGAUAAGUUCAAACAUUUUAUCUGUAAUUAGUUGUGAAGUAGGAGUAAAGUAGGCGAAGUUAGGACAUUGCGAGCAAGGGGGGGUGUUAAGUUGUGCUCUUAUGUAUUACGUAAUUUAUGUUAUUAAAGUAGAAACAAUUGUUAGUUGUAAUGUUAUUAGUAAUUACAUAUAGAUAAAGAGCAAGAGACUCAUGACUAUAUUUGGUAAAUAUCUGACCAAUCACCGUAAAGCGUAACUUAUGUAAAUAGUGUAUAUUCAGGGACGCCGG